GGCGCCCUCUAGCUUUCUGGAGGAAUCGAACAAUUCUGAAGAGAGUGUUUGACCGCCACGUUCAUCGUGUCGUAUCAUUUAGUAGAAAUUAACAUGAAGAGUAACUCGUUUUAAAAUCAAAAUAAAUAAAAUGGACGUAAUUUACUGAAGCCUGGUCCUGUCAGAACAGGAGUUAAUAGCUUCACUCUGCUUCGAUCCCUGUCCCAGCCAACUGGCUACUCUGAACGACCUGGUCAGAUGCCUGUUCGAUCCAGUGAGUGUGGGCCGAAAGCCCUUGUGGUUUCUCAGUAAAACUAUAAAAACACUGUCGCAAACGGAUGGUUCAUCUUCAGGGCUUCAGACCAACAUAGAGAAAGCUAAAGUAACUGUUAAGUUAAAAAUAUGGUGGGCCAUCAGUUUUUUCUUGGAAUCAAACAUAUGGACUGCGUCUGAAAUCGCAUAUAAGUUGCAGCAGUGUUCAGCCAGCCAACAAUAAACAGCCUCCAUCAAGAUGGCCACAGAGGAAUUCACGAUUACGCAUCCUACAUGGGGGGAAACAGUAAUACACAAACAAGCAUCUGAAUUUAUAAACUAGUCAGCCUUAAUUGCCUGUGCAAAUAAAAUCAUAAACUCCCACUCA
ensembl:lncRNA